UACGUAGGGUGCAAGCGUUAUCCGGAAUUAUUGGGCGUAAAGAGCUCGUAGGCGGUUUGUCGCGUCUGCUGUGAAAACUGGAGGCUCAACCUCCAGCCUGCAGUGGGUACGGGCAGACUAGAGUGCGGUAGGGGAGAUUGGAAUUCCUGGUGUAGCGGUGGAAUGCGCAGAUAUCAGGAGGAACACCAAUGGCGAAGGCAGAUCUCUGGGCCGUAACUGACGCUGAGGAGCGAAAGCAUGGUGAGCGAACAGG
rnacentral:rRNA from 1 species